rnacentral:rRNA from 1 species
UACGUAUGGUGCAAGCGUUAUCCGGAUUUACUGGGUGUAAAGGGAGCGUAGACGGCUGUGUAAGUCUGAAGUGAAAGCCCGGGGCUCAACCCUGGGACUGCUUUGGAAACUAUGCAGCUAGAGUGUCGGAGAGGUAAGUGGAAUUCCCAGUGUAGCGGUGAAAUGCGUAGAUAUUGGGAGGAACACCAGUGGCGAAGGCGGCUUACUGGACGAUGACUGACGUUGAGGCUCGAAAGCGUGGGGAGCAAACAGG